rnacentral:rRNA from 1 species
CAAUAGCGUAUAUUAACGUUGUUGCAGUUAAAAAGCUCGUAGUUGGAUUUCUGGAGGGAGCGUCGGCCCGUAUUUACGAGUGCGUGACGUCUCUGUCCAUCCUUGCGGGAAGGCACGGCAUUGAUUUGUUGUGUCGGAUCGCAUCAUUUACUGUGAAAAAAUUAGAGUGUUCAAAGCAGGCUUUCGCUUGAAUACAUUAGCAUGGAAUAAUAAGAUAGGACUUUGGUACUAUUUUGUUGGUUGAGCCUAAAGUAAUGAUUAAUAGGGAUAGUUGGGGGCACCUGUAUUGCGUUGUCAGAGGUGAAAUUCUUGGAUUUACGCAAGACAAACAGCUGCGAAAGCGUCUGCCAAGGAUGUUUNCAUUAA